GCAGCAGCCAUAUAUUUUUCUUCUUAUUCCUCCCUGAGAUGACAUGAGAUGAGGCUCUGUUGGUCGGUCUUCAAUUCUUCAUGCUGCUGCUGCUACUGCUACAUGAGGACCCUCUUCAAUUCUGCAUCCGUUGCGGCCGCCGCAGCUUCCACCUCUACCCGGCCGCAUUCGCAAGUAUGCUGGCAUUUCAUUCAGGACAAAGAAGUUGGAUGAAGCAUAGUUUUACCUCAUUGAGCUAGUUCUGGGAGUAACGAACUCCUUGUAGCAGAACUUGUACGUGUGCUAGUUCUGGG